UACAGAGGGUGCAAGCGUUACUCGGAAUUACUGGGCGUAAAGCGUGCGUAGGCGGUUGUUUAAGUCGGAUGUGAAAUCCCCGGGCUCAACCUGGGAAUUGCAUUCGAUACUGGGCAGCUAGAGUUCGGCAGAGGGAAGCGGAAUUUCCGGUGCAGCGGUGAAAUGCGUAGAGAUCGGGAGGAACACCAGUGGCGAAGGCGGCCUUCUGGACCAGUACUGACGCUCAUGCACGAAAGCGUGGGGAGCAAACAGG
rnacentral:rRNA from 1 species